CUACGGGUGGCUGCAGUGGGGAAUAUUGCACAAUGGGCGCAAGCCUGAUGCAGCCAUGCCGCGUGUGUGAAGAAGGCCUUCGGGUUGUAAAGCACUUUCAGCGGGGAGGAAGGCGGUGAGGUUAAUAACCUCAUCGAUUGACGUUACCCGCAGAAGAAGCACCGGCUAACUCCGUGCCAGCAGCCGCAGUAAUACGGAGGGUGCAAGCGUUAAUCGGAAUUACUGGGCGUAAAGCGCACGCAGGCGGUCUGUCAAGUCGGAUGUGAAAUCCCCGGGCUCAACCUGGGAACUGCAUUCGAAACUGGCAGGCUAGAGUCUUGUAGAGGGGGGUAGAAUUCCAGGUGUGGCGGUGAAAUGCGUAGAGAUCUGGAGGAAUACCGGUGGCGAAGGCGGCCCCCUGGACAAAGACUGACGCUCAGGUGCGAAAGCGUGGGGAGCAAACAGGAUUAGAUACCCCAGUAGUC
rnacentral:rRNA from 1 species